rnacentral:rRNA from 1 species
UACGUAGGUGGCAAGCGUUGUCCGGAAUUAUUGGGCGUAAAGCGCGCGCAGGCGGCCUUUUAAGUCUGAUGUAAAAUCUUGCGGCUCAACGCAACGGCCAUUGGAAACUGGGAGGCUUGAGUACAGAAGAGGAGAGUGGAAUUCCACGUGUAGCGGUGAAAUGCGUAGAUAUGUGGAGGAACACCGUGGCGAAAGGCGACUCUCUGGUCUGUAACUGACGUGAGGCGCGAAGCGUGGGGAGCAAACAGG